rnacentral:misc_RNA from 1 species
GGACUACUCGGGUAUCUAAUCCUGUUUGCUCCCCACGCUUUCGCGUCUCAGCGUCAGUACCGUCCCAGAGAGCCGCCUUCGCUACGGGUGUUCUUCCUGAUAUCUGCGCAUUUCACCGCUACACCAGGAAUUCCACUCUCCUCUUCCGGACUCGAGCUUGGGGGUUUCCCGUGCGGGUCCGCGGUUGAGCCGCGGGAUUUCACACGAGACCUACCAAGCCGCCUACACGCUCUUUACGCCCAAUGAUUCCGGACAACGCUCGGUCCCUACGUAUUACCGCGGCGGCUGGCACG